GCAGGCUGUGUUAGUGGAGGCAGGUUGGAGGCAGGUUGUAUUAGUGGAGGCAGGCUGUGUUAGUGGAGGCAGGUUGUAUUAGUGGAGGCAGGUUGUGUUAGUGGAGGCAGGUUGUAUUAGUGGAGGCAGGUUGUAUUAGUGGAGGCAGGUUGUGUUAGUGGAGGCAGGUUGGAGGCAGGUUGUAUUAGUGGAGGCAGGUUGUAUUAGUGGAGGCAGGUUGUAUUAGUGGAGGCAGGUUGUGUUAGUGGAGGCAGGUUGUGUUAGUGGAGGCAGGUUGUAUUAGUGGAGGCAGGUUGGAGGCAGGUUGUAUUAGUGGAGGCAGGUUGUAUUAGUGGAGGCAGGUUGUAUUAGUGGAGGCAGGUUGUGUUAGUGGAGGCAGGUUGUAUUAGUGGAGGCAGGUUGUAUUAGUGGAGGCAGGUUGGAGGCAGGUUGUAUUAGUGGAGGCAGGUUGUAUUAGUGGAGGCAGGUUGUAUUAGUGGAGGCAGGUUGUAUUAGUGGAGGCAGGUUGUAUUAGUGGAGGCAGGUUGUAUUAGUGGAGGCAGGUUGGAGGCAGG